GGCGAAUGGGUGAGUAACACGUACUUAACGUACCUCUUAGAUUGGGAUAACGCUGAGAAAUUAGCGCUAAUACCGGAUACUUAUAAGGAAGGCAUCUUCCUUAUAUAAAAGGAGCUCUCAAGCUCCACUAGGAGAUCGGGGUGCGGAACAUUAGCUAGUUGGUAAGGUAAUGGCUUACCAAGGCUAUGAUGUUUAACGGGGUUGAGAGACUGAUCCGUCACACUGGGACUGAGAUACGGCCCAGACUCCUACGGGAGGCAGCAGUAGGGAAUUUUCCACAAUGGGCGAAAGCCUGAUGGAGCGACACAGCGUGCAGGAUGAAGGCCUUCGGGUUGUAAACUGCUGUUAUUUAGGAUGAAAAAAUAGUAGAGGAAAUGCUAUUAUCUUGACAGUACUAAAUCAGAAAGCAACGGCUAACUAUGUGCCAGCAGCCGCGGUAAUACAUAGGUUGCAAGCGUUAUCCGGAAUUAUUGGGCGUAAAGCGUCUGUAGGUUGUUAGUUAAGUCUGGCGUCAAAACUUGGGGCUCAACCCCAAAUCGCGUUGGAUACUGGCUAACUAGAAUUGUGUAGAGGUUAACGGAAUUCCUUGUGAAGCGGUGAAAUGCGUAGAUAUAAGGAAGAACAUCAACUUGGCGAAGGCAGUUAACUGGGCACAUAUUGACACUGAGAGACGAAAGCGUGGGGAGCAAACAGGAUUAGAUACCCUGGUAGUCCACGCCGUAAACGAUGAUGAUUAGCUGAUGGGAACCAUCGGCGCAGCUAACGCAUUAAAUCAUCCGCCUGAGUAGUAUGCUCGCAAGAGUGAAACUUAAAGGAAUUGACGGGGAUCCGCACAAGCGGUGGKAGCAUGUGGUUUAAUUUGAAGAUACGCGUAGAACCUUACCCACU
rnacentral:rRNA from 1 species